UACGGGGGGAGCAAGCGGUGUUCGGAUUUACUGGGCGUAAAGGGCGCGUAGGCGGCCACCGCAAGUCGACUGUGAAAUCUCCGGGCUUAACCCGGAAAGGUCAGCCGAUACUGCGGGGCUAGAGUGCAGAAGGGGCAACUGGAAUUCUCGGUGUAGCGGUGAAAUGCGUAGAUAUCGAGAGGAACACCUGCGGCGAAGGCGGGUUGCUGGGAUGCCACUGACGCUGAUGCGCGAAAGCUAGGGGAGCGAACGGG
rnacentral:rRNA from 1 species